UCGAUUGAGUUUGAUCAUGGCUCAGAUUGAACGCUGGCGGCAUGCUUUACACAUGCAAGUCGAACGGCAGCACGGGGGCAACCUUGGUGGCGAGUGGCGAACGGGUGAGUAAUGCAUCGGAACGUAUCCUUAAGUGGGGGAUAACGCAUCGAAAGAUGCGCUAAUACCGCAUAAUCUCUAAGGAGAAAAGCAGGGGAUCGCAAGACCUUGCGCUUUUGGAGCGGUCGAUGUCUGAUUAGCUAGUUGGUGAGGUAAAGGCUUACCAAGGCUUCGAUCAGUAGCUGGUCUGAGAGGACGACCAGCCACACUGGGACUGAGACACGGCCCAGACUCCUACGGGAGGCAGCAGUGGGGAAUUUUGGACAAUGGGGGCAACCCUGAUCCAGCCAUGCCGCGUGAGUGAAGAAGGCCUUCGGGUUGUAAAGCUCUUUCAGCCGGAACGAAACGGUUACGGUUAAUAACCGUGACUACUGACGGUACCGGAAGAAGAAGCACCGGCUAACUACGUGCCAGCAGCCGCGGUAAUACGUAGGGUGCGAGCGUUAAUCGGAAUUACUGGGCGUAAAGCGUGCGCAGGCGGUUUUGUAAGUCAGAUGUGAAAUCCCCGGGCUUAACCUGGGAACUGCGUUUGAAACUACAAGGCUAGAGUGUGGCAGAGGGGGGUGGAAUUCCACGUGUAGCAGUGAAAUGCGUAGAGAUGUUGAGGAACACCGAUGGCGAAGGCAGCCCCCUGGGUUAACACUGACGCUCAGGCACGAAAGCGUGGGGAGCAAACAGGAU
rnacentral:rRNA from 1 species